GCUGGUGACGUCACGGGGCUCCAGGCGGCAGUUGGCUGCUCCGACUGGACCCCUGCGGAAGGGAUCGACUCAAGUUUGAAGGAAUUUCAGUGGGAGAACAUGGAGAUGAGCACUCAGGUAGCAGUGGGAGCAGAAGCGAAAGGAUGCAGAGAGAGAGUCCAUGUGGUGCCCGGAGCCUCCCACGCUUAGCAGUUGUGCCUGGCUCCGACCCUCUCACACACUUGGGGCAGGGGGAUUAUCCUGGCAGAAUUUUAUUUUGAAAAUUCGAAGCCUAGAGGAAACUUGGAAGAAUAAUACAAUGAAUACUUACAUGUCCUUCAUCUAGUAUGCCAGUCAAGGCUCAAACUGUUCUCACCACAUAAAAGAAAUGACAAUUAUGUGACAUGAUAGCGGUGUUAGCUAACCAUGGUGGUAAGCAUAAUGCAGCAUAUAAAUGUAUCACAUCAACACAUUGUACACCUUACACUUACACAAUGUUAUUAUAUCUCAAUAAAAAAUGGUGCAGAGAAAUAGACCAUUAGGGUAUGUGUACACAUAUACGUACAUGCACAUAAUUUUUUUUCAAUUCAGAGAUUUGUUACAGGAAAUUGCCCUUACCCAAUUAAUGCACUUAUAAGAACUAGUUAAACGGUCUGUGAAAGGUCAUUAUCUUUGCUUCUGAUGCUGGAGUUUGGAGUCUGCAGGGCAGGCAGCUGGGGAGGCAAGGCGAAUGGAAAGUGGGAGGGCAGGGAUAAGCCAGACCCAUGAAGACAGCCUGGAAGCCCAGUCAGUCUCUCACUACCUCCAGCUGUGAUGCUGUGAGUGUCCUGCAAGAGAAGCUGUGCCCUCCCUGACCAGGUGCCACUGCUCUGGAACAAAAGCCCAGCUGGUACACAGUCCCAGCCCAGCUUCCUCUCUCAGUAAGGACGGCCUCCUGUUCCAGGACCAUUUCUUAUUAUAUCAUCCUUUCUCCAAUGAAUUGAAUUGCCAUGUUCCCUUAUACACAAACACCUAGUUUGGGAUUCCUGUUUACCUAUUGAUUCCCUUUUACUUAUUGAUUUAAGUGGUCUUAGAGCAUGUUCUGAUGUUUGGUAAGGCAAAUUUCUCUUUUUCUUUUAAAAUAUUUGUCCUUGACUCUUCUUUGAGAUACAAAUUGGAACUAUCUUAAUGGUAUACUUUAAUUUUGGAAGCAUUGACAUUUUUUUCUGAUAUUUUAUCUUCCCUUCCAAGGGAAGGGAAGAGGGAGGGUUGAGGGAGUUCCCCGGUGAUCUAGUGGUUAGGAUUCAGCACUUUCACCGCCAAAGAGAUGGUUGCAUUUUCUGUUUGUCCCACUUUUGCUUUGUAUCUUUUAAUUAUAUUAUAUAACUUUCUUAAUAUGAGUACAUAUGAAGUCUUUUUUUUUUUUUUUUUUUUUUUGCGGUACGCGGGCCUCUCACUGUUGUGGCCUCUCCCGUUGCGGAGCACAGGCUCCGGACGCACAGGCUCAGCGGCCAUGGCUCACGGGCCCAAGCCGCUCCGCGGCAUGUGCCAUCUUUCCGGACUGGGGCACGAACCCGUGUCCCCUGCAUCGGCAGGCGGACUCUCAACCACUGCGCCACCUGGGAAGCUCUCUUGUUUGUCCUACUUUUGCUUUGUAUCUUUUAAUUAUAUUGUAUAACUUUCUUCAUAUGAGUACAUAUGAAGUCAAUUCUUGACUAAAUUUACAUACUAUAAAAAUUCCAGUCAUAAAAAAAAAUGUCCUGGGAAUGUAAUGUACAGCAUGGUGACUAUAGUUAAUAAUAUUGUAUUGUA